UGUGCUACCCAGCCUUUUUGUUAAGGUCAAGUGUAGUAUCUUUUCUUAUCAGUUUAACAUUUGAUAUGUCCCCUGUCCGAGGACCAUAUAUUAAAUUGCUUUUUGGAAAAGUGAGAUGGAAAAAGGGCUUGCUCUGCCCACUCUAUGCAUCAACCUGGUAUUGCAGUACUUUAGGGAGUGGCGGCCUAGGG
ensembl:snRNA U2 U2 spliceosomal RNA